GCGGCCGCCGCGCCCGGCACGAGAGAGCCCUGCCCAGCCGCCCAGGAGCCGGCCCCGAGUGAGGACAGAAACCCCUUCCCCGUCAAGCUCCGGUCCACCUCCCUCUCGCUCAAAUACAGGGAUGGCGCCUCUCAGGAGGUGAAGGGUGUGAAGAGGUACAGUGCCGAGGUCCGGUUAGAAAGGUCGCUGACCGUGCUCCCGAAGGAGGAGAAGUGUCCCCUCGGGACGGCCCCCGCCCUUCGAGGCACCAGGGCCCCCAGCGACCAAGGAAAGGGGAAGGCCCGGCCCCCCGAGCCGCUCAGCUCCAAGCCGCCCCUGCCCCGGAAGCCGCUUCUGCAGAGCUUCACGCUCCCGCACCAGCCCGCGCCCCCCGACGCCGGCCCGGGAGAGCGGGAACCCAGGAAGGAGCCCAGGACGGCGGAGAAAAGGCCGCUGCGCAGGGGAGCUGCUGCACAGAAUGCUGUAUGAGAAUGGGAUUCUCCUUGUCCC
rnacentral:lncRNA from 1 species